rnacentral:rRNA from 1 species
GAUGAACGCUGGCGGCGUGCCUAAUACAUGCAAGUCGAGCGAACAGACGAGGAGCUUGCUCCUCUGACGUUAGCGGCGGACGGGUGAGUAACACGUGGAUAACCUACCUAUAAGACUGGGAUAACUUCGGGAAACCGGAGCUAAUACCGGAUAAUAUAUUGAACCGCAUGGUUCAAUAGUGAAAGACGGUUUUGCUGUCACUUAUAGCUGGAUCCGCGCCGCCUUAGCUAGUUGGUAAGGUAACGGCUUACCAAGGCAACGAUGCGUAGCCGACCUGAGAGGGUGAUCGGCCACACUGGAACUGAGACACGGUCCAGACUCCUACGGGAGGCAGCAGUAGGGAAUCUUCCGCAAUGGGCGAAAGCCUGACGGAGCAACGCCGCGUGAGUGAUGAAGGUCUUCGGAUCGUAAAACUCUGUUAUUAGGGAAGACCAAAUGUGUAAGUAACUAUGCACGUCUUGACGGUACCUAAUCAGAAAGCCACGGCUAACUACGUG